UCUGGCUCAGAUUGAACGCUGGUGAUCGUGUGUGCAAGUCGAACGGCAGCACGGACUUCGGUCUGGUGGCGAGUGGCGAACGGGUGAGUAAUGUAUCGGAACGUGCCUAGUAGCAGGGGAUAACUACGCGAAAGCGUAGCUAAUACCAUGCGCCCUUCGAAGAAGCUGGUGAGGAUGACCUUCGGGCCUCACUAAUGAAACGGCCGAUAUUGGAUUAGCUAGUUGGUGGGGUAACGGCUCACCAAGGCGACGAUCCGCUAACUGGUUUGGAAGGACGACAGCCACGCAUGGGACUGAGACACGGCCCAGACUCCUACAGGAGGCAGCGGUUAAACUUGGACAAUGGGGGAAACCUGAUCCAGCCAUCCCGCGUGUGCGAUAGAGGCCUUCGGGUUGUAAAGCACUUUUGGCAGGAAAGAAACGGCAAGGACGAUACCCCGUGCGGCUGACGGUACCGCAGAAUAAGCACCGGCUAACUACGUGCCAGCAGCCGCGGUAAUACGUAGGGUGCAAGCGUUAAUCGGAAUUGCGACAAAGACGUGCGCAGGCGGUUCGGAAAAGAAAGAUGUGAAAUCCAGAGCUUAACUUUGGAACUGCAUUUUUAACUACCGAGCUAGAGUGUGUCAGAGAGGUGGAAUUCCGCCUGUAGCAGUGAAAUGCGUAGAUAGCCAAGACACCGAUGGCGAAGGCAGCCUCCUGGGAUAACACUGACGCUCAUGUGCGAAAAGCGUGGGGAGCAAACGAGUUAGAUACCCUGGUAGUCCACGCCCUAAACGAUGUCAACUAGCUGUUGGGAGCCUUCGGGCCUUGGUAGCGCAACUAACGCGUGAAGUUGACCGCCUGGGGAGUACGGUCGCAAGAUUAAAACUCAAAGGAAUUGACGGGGACCCGCACAAGCGGUGGAUGAUGUGGAUUAAUUCGAUGCAACGCGAAAAACCUUACCUACCCUUGACAUGUCUGGAAUCCCGAAGAGAUUUGGGAGUGCUCGCAAGAGAACCGGAACACAGGUGCUGCAUGGCUGUCGUCAGCUCGUGUCGUGAGAUGUUGGGUUAGUCCCGCAACGAGCGCAACCCUUGUCAUUAGUUGCUACGAAAGGGCACUCUAAUGAGACUGCCGGUGACAAACCGGAGGAAGGUGAGGAUGACGUCAAGUCUCCAUGGCGCCCUUAUGGGUAGGGCUUCACACGUCAUACAAUGGUCGGGACAGAGGGUCGCCAACCCGAAGGCCAAUCCAAAGCGAUCCGUAGUCCGGACGCCUGGAUCUACAGCUCGACUGCGUGAAGUCGAAAUCGCUAGUAAUCGCGGAUCAGCAUGUCGCGGUGAAUACGUUCGGAUAUGGCCGUGUGCGUGCGCCCGUCACACCAUGGGAGUGGGUUUUACGAAGUAGUUAAUACGAAUUCGGGGGCGACGACCAGUUCAUGACUGGGGUGAAGUCGUAACAAGGUAG
rnacentral:rRNA from 1 species